GGUCAGUUAGCUCAGUUGAGUGUGGCACUAACAAUGCCAGCCUCGCGGGUUCAAUUCCUGUUCGGUCCC
rnacentral:tRNA from 1 species